rnacentral:rRNA from 1 species
CGAAGCAACGCGAAGAACCUUACCAGGUCUUGACAUCCCCUGACAACCCGAGAGAUCGGGCGUUCCCCUUCGGGGGACAGGGUGACAGGUGGUGCAUGGUUGUCGUCAGCUCGUGUCGUGAGAUGUUGGGUUAAGUCCCGCAACGAGCGCAACCCUCGACCUUAGUUGCCAGCAUUCAGUUGGGCACUCUAAGGUGACUGCCGGCUAAAAGUCGGAGGAAGGUGGGGAUGACGUCAAAUCAUCAUGCCCCUUAUGACCUGGGCUACACACGUGCUACAAUGGGCGGUACAAAGGGUCGCGAACCCGCGAGGGGGAGCCAAUCCCAAAAAGCCGCUCUCAGUUCGGAUUGCAGGCUGCAACUCGCCUGCAUGAAGCCGGAAUCGCUAGUAAUCGCGGAUCAGCAUGCCGCGGUGAAUACGUUCCCGGGCCUU